ensembl:misc_RNA Metazoa_SRP Metazoan signal recognition particle RNA
GCCAGGCAUGGUGAGGCAUGCCUGUAGUCCCAGCUACUUGGGAGGCUGAGGCAGGAGAAUCACUUGAACCCAGGAGGUGGAGGUUGCAGUGAGCCGAGAUUGCGCCAGUGCACUCCAGCCUGGGUGACAGAGUGAGACUCUGUCUCAA